CUUCAUGACUAUUGAGAUAUCCCAUGAAAAUCUUCUCACAAAUAGUUAUAGCUCUAGCGAUGCUAUCUAAGUCUUCCAGGAAAGUCUCUUAGUACUUUCAUUGCGGCCAACUUGGGCGCAUAUACGUAAUUACAUUUAGGACCAAAUCACCCAUGAUAAGUUUGACCAAGAUAAUUAUAAGUUUGACCAAGAUAAUCCUAUCUCCUUGCCUUAUCACAUCCACUAUUCUAUUCUUGAGGCUCUUAUCAAUCAAACUCCUACUCUACUUCUAUUUGCAGUUGUGUCUAUGUAUCAAAGCUUAAAGCUGGUAUUGUUCACCUUAUUCACCUUAUAACCCUUCCAUUUAGUCUCCUGGACACUGUCUCAACUAACUUCAUUAACUUACGUGUAAGCAACCCUACAUUCCAAAUUUCAAACUACCUAAAUGAAUCUUAGUUAGCUCGACUAGCUUUCUUACCCUUUGCAUCCGUCAAUGAUAUGAAUACCCUUGCAUAUGUUUCACUUCACCCGAGUGAUAAUGUAGCACAACACACCUCUAAGGAAGCAUCAACGCAAUCCUUGCUUAUUUGACACCGUGCGCAGAUCAUGACACAAUGUGUCACCAAAAAGGUGUCGAUUUAGUCCUUGUCCAUUUAACACCAUGCCCAAGUUCUGGUAUGACCAUCGCUAAGAGGGUUACACUCUAACGUAUUUCUUUUAGGUUUUUGCCUCCAUUAGUUAUUUGACACCGUGCGCAGAUCAUGACACAAUGUGUCACCAAAAAGGUGUCGAUUUAGUCCUUGUCCAUUUAACACCAUGCCCAGGUUCUGGUAUGACCAUCGCUAAGAGGGUUACACUCUAACGUAUUUCUUUUAGGUUUUUGCCUCCAUUAGAAUGACUAGGUCUAACACUAGUACACAUAAGUACUAUACUGGCAGUUGUAAACCUAUUUGCACUGGCGGUUUUUACAACCGUCGGUACUAGGGGUCAAUAGAAAUAAUUUUUUCUACAUGCGCGUAACUGAGAACCGCCGCUCGAAAUUGAUUUCCACUGGCGAUUGAACUAACAAAAUCGUUAGUGAAACUCGAUUUCCAUUGGUGACUGAGCUAAUAAAACUGUCGAUGAAAAUAUUUUCCAAGAAACAUAAAAUAAGUUUAAAAAUAGCAAAAAAAUUAUUAGGAGGGGGCCUAGCGUCGGC
rnacentral:lncRNA from 1 species